AUACCGCAUAAGCCCACAGCACCGCAUGGUGCAGCGGGAAAAGGAGCAAUUCGCUUCAGGAUGGCCUCGCGUCCAAUUAGGUAGAUGGUGAGGUAACGGCCCACCAUGCCGACGAUUGGUAGCCGGACUGAGAGGUUGAACGGCCACAUUGGGACUGAGACACGGCCCAGACUCCUACGGGAGGCAGCAGUGGGGAAUAUUGCACAAUGGGGGAAACCCUGAUGCAGCGACGCCGCGUGGAGGAAGAAGGUUUUCGGAUUGUAAACUCCUGUCUUCGGGGACGAUAAUGACGGUACCCGAGGAGGAAGCCACGGCUAACUACGUGCCAGCAGCCGCGGUAAAACGUAGGUGGCAAGCGUUGUCCGGAAUUACUGGGUGUAAAGGGAGCGCAGGCGGGUCGGCAAGUUGGAGGUGAAAGCUGUGGGCUCAACCCACAAACUGCCUUCAAAACUGCCGAUCUUGAGUGGUGUAGAGGUAGGCGGAAUUCCCGGUGUAGCGGUGGAAUGCGUAGAUAUCGGGAGGAACACCAGUGGCGAAGGCGGCCUACUGGGCACUAACUGACGCUGAGGCUCGAAAGCGUGGGUAGCAAACAGGAUUAGAUACCCUGGUAGUCCAUGCCGUAAACGAUGAUUACUAGGUGUGGGAGGAUUGACCCCUUCCGUGCCGCAG
rnacentral:rRNA from 1 species